rnacentral:rRNA from 1 species
GUGGGGAAUAUUGCGCAAUGGGGGAAACCCUGACGCAGCAAUACCGCGUGAGUGAAGAAGGUUUUCGGAUCGUAAAACUCUUUUAUUGGGGAAGAAGAAGUGACGGUACCCAAUGAAGAAGUCCCGGCUAACUACGUGCCAGCAGCCGCGGUAAUACGUAGGGGACAAGCGUUGUCCGGAAUCACUGGGCGUAAAGGGCGCGGAGGCGGUUGUAUAAGUCAGAUGUGAAAGGUACCGGCUCAACCGGUGACGUGCAAUUGAAACUGUAAGACGUGAGUACUGGAGAGGCAAGUGGAAUUCCUAGUGUAGCGGUGAAAUGCGUAGCUAUUAGGAGGAACACCGGUGGCGAAGGCGGCUUGCUGGACAGAUACUGACGCUGAGGUGCGAAAGCGUGGGGAGCGAACAGGAUUAGAAACCCCUGUAGUCC